rnacentral:rRNA from 1 species
AUGCUCAACGAGCUGGCGUCGCCGUACGGGGACGUGGAGCAGAAGCUGGCCUCCUACUUCCUGCAGGGUCUCUUCGCGCGGCUCACGGCGUCCGGCCCCCGGACGCUGCGCACGCUCGCGGCGGCGACCGACCGCAACACGUCCUUCGACUCCACGCGCCGCACAGCGCUGCGGUUCCAGGAGCUCAGCCCCUGGUCGUCGUUCGGGCACGUGGCCGCCAACGGCGCCAUACUGGAAUCUUUCUUGGAGGCCGCGGCCGCGUCGUCGGAGCCGCAGAGGUUUCACAUCCUCGACCUGAGCAACACCUUCUGCACGCAGUGGCCGACGCUGCUCGAGGCCCUGGCCACGCGGUCCCCCGACGACACGCCGCACCUGUCCAUCACCACCGUCGUGUCGGCCGCGCCGUCGGCUCCGACGUCCGCCGUGCAGCGCGUGAUGCGGGAGAUCGGGCAGCGCAUGGAGAAGUUCGCGCGGCUGAUGGGCGUCCCCUUCCGCUUCCGCGCCGUGCACCACUCCGGGGACCUCGCGGAGCUCGACCUCGACUCGCUCGACCUGCGCGAGGGCGGCGCCACGACCGGCAUCGCCGUCAACUGCAUGAAUUCGCUGCGCGGCGUGGUGCCGGGCGGUGCCCGCCGGCGCGGCGCGUUCGCCGCGUCCCUCCGCCGCCUCGAACCUCGGGUCGUCACCGUGGUCGAGGAGGAGGCAGACCUGGUGGCGACCGACGCCGACGCGUCCGACGAAGGCGGCGACACGGAGGCGGCAUUCUUGAAGGUGUUCGGCGAGGGCUUACGGUUCUUCUCGGCUUACAUGGACUCGCUAGAGGAGAGCUUCCCCAAGACCAGCAACGAGAGGCUGGCAUUGGAGAGGGGAGCAGGACGUGCCAUUGUUGACCUGGUCUCGUGCCCAGCGUCGGAGUCCAUGGAGCGGCGGGAGACGGCGGCGGCGUGGGCGCGGCGCUUGCGGUCGGCCGGGUUCUCACCGGUGCCAUUCAGCGAGGACGUAGCCGACGACGUGCGGUCGCUUCUGCGCCGGUACCGGGAGGGCUGGUCGAUGCGGGAGGCCGGCACGGAUGACUCGGCGGCCGGAGCCGGCGUGUUCCUCGCGUGGAAGGAGCAGCCUCUGGUGUGGGCAAGCGCGUGGAGGCCAUGA